CUCUUUGGUCAAUUCAGUCUGGUGGACAUUGCCUAUGCUCCAUUCAUUGAAAGGUUUCAAAUCUUCUUUGAAGAUGCCUUGAAGUAUGACAUCACAUCAGGAAGACCAAAACUAGCAGCAUGGAUUGAAGAGCUGAACAAGAUUGACGCUUAUCCACAGACAAAAUGUGAACCCAAGUGCUUGUUGAAUUCUAC